GACGAACGCUGGCGGCGUGCUUAACACAUGCAAGUCGAACGGAAAGGCCCUGCUUUUGUGGGGUGCUCGAGUGGCGAACGGGUGAGUAACACGUGAGUAACCUGCCCUUGACUUUGGGAUAACUUCAGGAAACUGGGGUUAAUACCGGAUAGGAGCUCCUGCUGCAUGGUGGGGGUUGGAAAGUUUCGGCGGUUGGGGAUGGACUCGCGGCUUAUCAGCUUGUUGGUGGGGUAGUGGCUUACCAAGGCGUUGACGGGUAGCCGGCCUGAGAGGGUGACCGGCCACAUUGGGACUGAGAUACGGCCCAGACUCCUACGGGAGGCAGCAGUGGGGAAUAUUGCACAAUGGGCGGAAGCCUGAUGCAGCAGCGCCGCGUGCGGGAUGACGGCCUUCGGGUUGUAAACCGCUUUCGCCUGUGACGAAGCGUGAGUGACGGUAAUGGGUAAAGAAGCACCGGCUAACUACGUG
rnacentral:rRNA from 1 species